UACGUAGGGUGCAGGCGUUAAUCGGAAUUACUGGGCGUAAAGCGUGCGCAGGCGGUUUGUUAAGACAGAUGUGAAAUCCCUCGGCUUAACCGGGGAACUGCGUCUGAUACUGGAUGGCUUGAGUUUGGGAGAGGGAUGCGGAAUUCCAGGUGUAGCGGUGAAAUGCGUAGAUAUCUGGAGGAACACCGGUGGCGAAGGCGGCAUCCUGGACCAACACUGACGCUGAGUGAGCGAAAGCCAGGGGAGCAAACGGG
rnacentral:rRNA from 1 species